rnacentral:rRNA from 1 species
UACGUAGGGGGCAAGCGUUGUCCGGAAUCAUUGGGCGUAAAGAGCGUGUAGGCGGCCCGAUAAGUCCGCUGUGAAAGUCCAGGGCUCAACCCUGGGAUGCCGGUGGAUACUGUCGGGCUUGAGUCCGGAAGAGGAGUGUGGAAUUCCUGGUGUAGCGGUGAAAUGCGCAGAUAUCAGGAGGAACACCAAUGGCGAAGGCAGCACUCUGGGACGUGACUGACGCUGAGACGCGAAAGCGUGGGGAGCAAACAGG